UACGUAGGGCGCAAGCGUUGUCCGGAAUUAUUGGGCGUAAAGAGCUCGUAGGCGGUUUGUCGCGUCUGCUGUGAAAACCUGAGGCUCAACCUCGGGCUUGCAGUGGGUACGGGCAGACUAGAGUGCGGUAGGGGUGACUGGAAUUCCUGGUGUAGCGGUGGAAUGCGCAGAUAUCAGGAGGAACACCGAUGGCGAAGGCAGGUCACUGGGCCGCAACUGACGCUGAGGAGCGAAAGCAUGGGGGAGCGAACAGG
rnacentral:rRNA from 1 species